CUGAUGGAUGGACCCGCGGUGCAUUAGCUAGUUGGUGAGGUAACGGCUCACCAAGGCCACGAUGCAUAGCCGACCUGAGAGGGUGAUCGGCCACAUUGGGACUGAAAGACACGGCCCAAACUCCUACGGGAGGCAGCAGUAGGGAAUUCUGUCGGCCAAUGGACGAAAGUCUGACCGAGCAACGCCGCGUGAGUGAAGAAGGCUUUCGGGUCGUAAAACUCUGUUGUUGGAGAAGAAUGGUCGGCAGAGUAACUGUUGUCGGCGUGACGGUAUCCAACCAGAAAGCCACGGCUAACUACGUGCCAGCAGCCGCGGUAAUACGUAGGUGGCAAGCGUUAUCCGGAUUUAUUGGGCGUAAAGCGAGCGCAGGCGGUUUUUUAAGUCUGAUGUGAAAGCCCUCGGCUUAACCGAGGAAGUGCAUCGGAAACUGGGAAACUUGAGUGCAGAAGAGGACAGUGGAACUCCAUGUGUAGCGGUGAAAUGCGUAGAUAUAUGGAAGAACACCAGUGGCGAAGGCGGCUGUCUGGUCUG
rnacentral:rRNA from 1 species